rnacentral:sRNA from 1 species
GCUGGGUACAGUGGUGCAUGCCUAUAAUCCCAGUGGCCUUGGAGGCUGAGGCAGGAGGAUCACAAGUUAGAGGCCAGCCUCAGCAACUUAGCAAGACCCUGUCUCAA